rnacentral:rRNA from 1 species
GACGAACGCUGGCGGCGUGCCUAAUACAUGCAAGUCGAACGCAGUGGGGCCGGGUGAGUAACACGUGGGUAACCUCCCAUCAGAGGGGAUAACACUUGGAAACAGGUGCUAAACCGAUAUUGAUGGAUGGACCCGCGGUGCAUUAGCUAGUUGGGGAGGUAACGGCUCACCAAGGCCACGAUGCAUUGCCGCCCUUGGCGGGUGAUCGUCCACAUUGGGACGGAGACACGGCCCAGGCGCCUACGGCAGGCAGCUGUAGGUAGGCUUCGGCAAUGUACGAAAGUCUGACCGACGGACGCCGCGUAAGUAAGUAAUCUUUUCGGCUCGUAAAACUCUGUUGUUAGAGAUGCGGUAUCUAACCAGAAAGCACCGGCUAACUACGUGCCAGCAGCCGCGGUAAUAC